UUAAACGUUCAUACCACGUUGAAUACAUCGCUUCCCGUCCGAUCAGCGAAGUUAAGCAACGUCGCGCGCGGUCAAUACAUGGAUGGGUGUACCCCUUUUUUAUUUGUUUUUUUUUUAAU
rnacentral:rRNA from 1 species